rnacentral:misc_RNA from 1 species
UUUCCGUAGGUGAACCUGCGGAAGGAUCAUUAUUGUAUAACCGAGGUGCGAGGGCUGUCGCUGACCCGAAAGGUCGUGCACGCCCGAGUGCCCUCACACACAUCCAUCUUACCCCUAUGUGCACCACCGCGUGGGUCCCCCUUUGGCUUGUUCGGAGGGGGGCUUACGUUUUCACACAAACUUUGUAUGCAGUGUAGAAUGUAUUUUUUGUUUUUGCGAUCACGCAAUCAAUACAACUUUCAACAACGGAUCUCUUGGCUCUC